rnacentral:rRNA from 1 species
GACGAACGCUGGCGGCGUGCCUAACACAUGCAAGUGGAGCGACGAACCGGGCUUCGGCCCGGGGCCAAGCCGCGAACGGGUGAGUAACACGUGGGUAACCUGCCCUGAUGAUUGGGACAACCCGAGGAAACUCGGGCUAAUACCGAAUAUGCCCUCCGACCAUAAGGUCUGCGGGGAAAGGAAGCUUCGGCCUCCGCAUCGGGAUGGGCCCGCGGCGCAUUAGCUUGUUGGUGAGGUAACGGCUCACCAAGGCGACGAUGCGUAGCUGGUCUGAGAGGACGAUCAGCCACACUGGGACUGAGACACGGCCCAGACUCCUACGGGAGGCAGCAGUGGGGAACCUUGCGCAAUGCGCGAAAGCGUGACGCAGCAACGCCGCGUGGGGGAAGACGG